UACGGAGGGUGCGAGCGUUGUCCGGAAUCACUGGGCGUAAAGGGCGCGCAGGUGGCGCGGGAAGUCAACGGUGAAAGUUCGGGGCUCAACCCUGAAUCGGCCGUCGAUACUCCCGGGCUCGAGCACUGUAGAGGCAGAUGGAAUUCCGGGUGUAGCGGUGGAAUGCGUAGAGAUCCGGAAGAACACCGGUGGCGAAGGCGGUCUGCUGGGCAGUUGCUGACACUGAGGCACGACAGCGUGGGGAGCAAACAGG
rnacentral:rRNA from 1 species